rnacentral:rRNA from 1 species
AUUGAACGCUGGCGGCAGGCCUAACACAUGCAAGUCGAGCGGAGCGGCGGACGGGUGAGUAAUGCCUAGGAAUCUGCCUGGUAGGGGGGGAUAACGUCCGGAAACGGGCGCUAAUACCGCAUACUAUCAGAUGAGGCUAGGUCGGAUGAGCUAGUUGGUGGGGUAAAGGCCUACCAAGGCGACGAUCCGUAACUGGUCUGAGAGGAUGAUCAGUCACCCUGGAACUGAUACAUGGUCCAGACUCCUACGGGAGUCAGCAGUGGGGAAUAUUGGAAAAUGGGCGAAACCCUGAUCAAGCCAUGCCGAGUGUGUGAAGAAGGUCUUCGGAUUGUAAAGCACUUUAAGUUGGGAGGCGUUACCAUCAGACUCAGCACCGUCUAACUUCGUGCCAGCAGCCGCGGUAAUUC